rnacentral:lncRNA from 1 species
GGGGGAGGCGGGGGCCGUCCCGUCGGUUUCCGCGGGCGGGGGCGUAGGGCCGGGGGGAGCGGCCGGGGGAGCUCGGCGGCCGCCGUCUUACGACAGAUCCUGGAAAGAGGAUCAAGGUGGGGCCCGCCCCGCCGCGCACCGCCGGCAACCGACGGGGCGGCCCGGGCUCGGCCGCUGGGAGCACGGCGGAGAGCUGCAGGCGGCGAGGUGCCCUCCCGUCGGGGCCGCGCUGCGCUGCCCGGCCCGAGGGGCUGUUUACCCGGGCGGGGGGAGGCAGAUAAGGCGGAGGGGAAAUGCCGGGGCUGUUUGCUGAGGGAUUAGGGCCGGUCCCGCCGCGCCGGGGCCCGGGAUGGGGGUGGGGUGGGGGGGGCGGCGGGCGCGGUGGGUGUCCCCGCGGAGAAGUCCGUUUGGAGAUCUGCGCUGAUUAACUGAGGGCUGCGGUGGCUGAAGAGGGCCCUGGCGCCAGGCGGCUGAGCCCUCACAAUAAAGACCCGUCUCUUGUCACUUCAUAUUUACCCCCAAAUCUUCAAAAAGCGCCCUGCGAUCCUUACAAGGCUCCUGCCACCGCCGCCUGCGCUGCGGCCAGACGGGACGGGGACGGGGGGGCGGAGGCGGCCCCCUCCUCUGCCCACGGCUCCGCGGGUGCGCAGCGACGCGCUGCCUUCCUGGGGACCGCGCUGGGCCUCUCCCCGCGGAGGGUGAGACGCGGGGACCCCCGGCAGCCCUCUCCCCACCCCCACCUCUCCGCUGUUUCUCCCCACACCGUGGCUCAUCGUGCUGCCAGCAAACCCCGGUGCUGCGAAGGGCCCGAGGAGAAGCCCCGGAGGCGGCCGCAUCCCGCCCCGUCCCGCGGCAGGUUCACCUCCAGCCGUCGCCUCCCGACGGGGCGGACACAGCGCGGCCACCGCGGAGCUGCCCUCACCGCCCCGGCCGCCGCGCGGGGCUGAGGGGGGUGUGUGUGUUGGGGGGGGGGAUCGGUCCCGCUGACCAUUGAACGGGGCGAGGUGGCGAGCGGGGAUUGAAAUUUAGACCUCAUUUGGACUUUGCUUCCUCGCCACCGUCGAAAUGUGCUGACUGCAGCUUUGGCAAAAAUGGGGCUUGCUUGGGCUUUUUUUUUUUCCUUUUUUUUUCCUCCCCUCCAAG